rnacentral:rRNA from 1 species
GACGAACGCUGGCGGCGUGCCUAAUACAUGCAAGUAGAACGCUAACGGAGGAGCUUGCUUCUCUGGCUGGGUUGCGAACGGGUGAGUAACGCGUAGGUAACCUGCCUUGUAUUUUGGUAUAACUAUUGGAAACGAUAGCUACUCCCGCAUAAUAGCCGUUGUUGCAUGAUAACUGUUUGAAAGUUGCAAUUUCCCCGCUACCAUAUGCACCUGCGUUGUUUUCGCUUGUUGGGGGGGUAACGGCUCACCAAGGCGACGAUACAUAGCCGACCUGAGAGGGUGAUCGGCCAAACUGGGAAUGAGACACGGCCCAGACUCCUACGGGAGGGAGCAGGAGGGAAUCUUCGGCAAUGGACGGAAGUCUGACCGAGCAACGCCGCGUGAGUGAAGAAGGGUUUCGGAUCGUAAAGCUCUGUUGGAAGAGAAGAACGAGUGUGAGAGUGGAAAGUUCACACUGUGACGGUAUCUAACCAGAAAGGAACGGCUAACUACGUG